rnacentral:hammerhead_ribozyme from 24 species
CUGGGGUCAUUCGGUAUAGCCGAAUCUGAUGAGUCUGAUAAGGACGAAACCCCAA